GAUGAACGCUGGCGGCGUGCCUAACACAUGCAAGUCGAACGAGCGGCGAACGGGUGAGUAAUAUGUGGGGACUUCCCUUGCACUUCGGGACAAGCUUGGGAAACUGGGAUUAUUACCCGAAAGUGUAAGAUGAGCUCGCGUGCUAUUAGCUUGUUGGUGGGGUAAAGGCCUACCACGGCGACGAUCAGUAGCUGGUCUGAGAGGAUGAUCCGGCACACUGGAACGGAGACACGGCCCAGACUCCUACGGGAGGCAGCAGUGGGGAAUUUUGGACAAUGGGCGCAAGCCUGAUGCAGCCAUGCCGCGUGUGUGAAGAAGGCCUUCGGGUUGUAAAGGACUUUUGUUGGGGAGGCGUUACCUAAAGAAUAAGCACCGGCUAACUACGUGCCAGCAGCCGCGGUAAUUC
rnacentral:rRNA from 1 species